AUAGACCGUUAGGUUCCGUGGUACCCUGGAGUCCACAGCUGCUGAAUCUGAAGGGCCAUCAGAAGACUGGCUUCUCCAUGAUGGUUUAUGGACUAAGGCAAAGAUGAGCAGAGCCAUGGCCCUCUUCUUUGUUCUCUGCUGGAUCCAAGGUUCUCCCUCUGUCACCCAGAGCUGGAGUGCGGUGGCAUAAUCACAGCUAAUUGCAGCCUCAACAUUCCAGGCCCAAGGAUCCUCCCUUCAGCCUUCCAGAGUCGGGGGUCUCCCUAUGUUUCCCAGGCUGGCCUCGAACUCCUGACCUCAAGUGAUCCUCCCACCUCAGCCUCCCCGAGUGCUGGGAUUAAAGACGUGAGCCACGGCACCUGGCCUGAAUUUUCCUCAAAUUCAAAAAAUCCUGAUGAAGGUUUGGCUAAAAUCUUUGGUGAGUUACCCCACUCCCUGUGGAACCUCAGGCUGGAUUUGAAGAGUUGCGUGCAUGGUCCUCAUUGUCUCCCAGGUAACCUGUUCCCGCUGCUGUGAAGGGAAGGCAGGUGCUCUUCCUUGAGGCUAGAAUCUGUCUACGUGUCACAGUCUCAGGAAAUUAAGCAAAACAGAUGAUAAACACCUCAAAAGGACCCUACUGAGCAUCAGUGGAGCAGAGCAGGGCCAUGU
rnacentral:lncRNA from 1 species